GGCGAACGCUGGCGGCAGGCCUAACACAUGCAAGUCGAACGAACUCUUCGGAGUUAGUGGCGGACGGGUGAGUAACACGUGGGAACGUGCCUUUUGGUUCGGAAUAACUCAGGGAAACUUGUGCUAAUACCGAAUGUGCCCUUCGGGGGAAAGAUUUAUCGCCAUUAGAGCGGCCCGCGUCUGAUUAGCUAGUUGGUGAGGUAACGGCUCACCAAGGCGACGAUCAGUAGCUGGUCUGAGAGGAUGACCAGCCACACUGGGACUGAGACACGGCCCAGACUCCUACGGGAGGCAGCAGUGGGGAAUCUUGCGCAAUGGGCGAAAGCCUGACGCAGCCAUGCCGCGUGAAUGAUGAAGGUCUUAGGAUUGUAAAAUUCUUUCACCGGGGACGAUAAUGACGGUACCCGGAGAAGAAGCCCCGGCUAACUUCGUG
rnacentral:rRNA from 1 species